UUGGAGAGAGAGCCUUUGUGACAGCAACAACAAGCAACAGAACACCAGCCACUGCCUGCGUAAUAUCCUUCAACCCUCACAAAACUCCCACAAGGGUUUCAGUAGAAAUCAUCUUUCUAUAAGGAUGGCUACACUCUGGUGUCCUGCACUGCCGAUCCUGUCCUGGAGUCCACAUGGGAACACUCUGACUCCUACAUUCACGAAAAGUGACCACGAGCCAGCCGUCUCACGGCCGCACUCUGGACGCGAUUACCAUCUCAUGUGAAAUCUUUAUUUUAAAUUAAAUUUAUUACAAUGUUGUCAAAACAUCAGAAAGGCAAAGAGAAUAAGGUCACAAAACUUAUCAUCUGAACUUGCCAAAUGUAAGAAUAUGGUCUUAUUUACUCCACAGUUUUUAAAUAAAUAAAUAGUAUAGUUAUUUUUUUCCAUCCAAAAUCUAAUUUUUGCCCCUCUACCUCCAGAGACAACUGCAGCUCUAGCAUUAGUAGUAUACUGCCGUUCAGGAUUUAUACUUUUACUACAUAGACAUUAUUAUUUUAAAGAUUACAAUGUGUAUACAUUAUGUGCUACAGCAUUUAUCCUCCAGUUUUUCUCAGUCAUGUUAAUGUUUUAAACAUAUUCAUAUGAAUUCUUUCAUUUUACUGUUAUACAGAAUGCAUCAAUAAGAAAAUGACACAACA